UUUGAUCCUGGCUCAGGAUGAACGCUAGCGGCAGGCUUAACACAUGCAAGUCGAGGGGCAGCACGUCUUCGGNNNNNNUGGCGACCGGCGCACGGGUGAGUAACGCGUAUGCAACCUACCUGUAACAGAGGGAUAGCCCAUAGAAAUGUGGAUUAAUAUCUCAUAGUUCUAUUAGAUCGCAUGAUUUGAUAGAUAAAGCUCCGGCGGUUACAGAUGGGCAUGCGUGACAUUAGCUAGUUGGUAAGGUAACGGCUUACCAAGGCUACGAUGUCUAGGGGUUCUGAGAGGAUGAUCCCCCACACUGGUACUGAGACACGGACCAGACUCCUACGGGAGGCAGCAGUGAGGAAUAUUGGUCAAUGGGCGCAAGCCUGAACCAGCCAUCCCGCGUGCAGGAUGACGGCCCUCUGGGUUGUAAACUUCUUUUGUACGGGAAUAACCCUCCGAACGUGUUCGGAGCUGAAGGUACCGUAAGAAUAAGGAUCGGCUAACUCCGUGCCAGCAGCCGCGGUAAUACGGAGGAUCCAAGCGUUAUCCGGAUUUACUGGGUUUAAAGGGUGCGUAGGCGGAUUGAUAAGUCAGUGGUGAAAGCCUGCAGCUUAACUGCAGAACUGCCAUUGAUACUGCCAGUCUGGAGUAUGGUUGAGGUAGCUGGAAUGUGUCAUGUAGCGGUGAAAUGCUUAGAGAUGACACAGAACACCGACGGCGAAGGCAGGUUACCAACCCAUUACUGACGCUGAGGCACGAAAGCGUGGGGAUCAAACAGGAUUAGAUACCCUGGUAGUCCACGCCGUAAACUAUGAUUACUAGGUGUUGGGGGUCAAAGCCCGGUGCCGCAGCUAACGCAUUAAGUGAGCCACCUGGGGAGUACGAUCGCAAGGUUGAAACUCAAAGGAAUUGACGGGGGCCCGCACAAGCGGAGGAACAUGUGGUUUAAUUCGAUGAUACGCGAGGAACCUUACCUGGGCUUAAAUGUAGAGCGACAGAUUGUGAAAGCAGUCCUUCUUCGGACGAUCUACAAGGUGCUGCAUGGUUGUCGUCAGCUCGUGCCGUGAGGUGUCGGGUUAAGUCCCAUAACGAGCGCAACCCUUAUCGUUAGUUGCCAGCGGGUCAAGCCGGGGACUCUAGCGAGACUGCCACCGUAAGGUGUGAGGAAGGUGGGGAUGACGUCAAAUCAGCACGGCCCUUAUGUCCAGGGCUACACACGUGUUACAAUGGCCGAUACAAAGGGCAGCUACUCCGCGAGGAGAUGCUAAUCUCUAAAGUCGGUCCCAGUUCGGAUUGUAGGCUGCAACUCGCCUACAUGAAGUCGGAUUCGCUAGUAAUCGCGCAUCAGCCAUGGCGCGGUGAAUACGUUCCCGGGCCUUGUACACACCGCCCGUCAAGCCAUGGAAGUUGGGGGUGCCUAAAGUUCGUGACCGCAAGGAGCGACCUAGGGUAAAACCAAUGACUGGGGCUAAGUCGUAACAAGGUAACC
rnacentral:rRNA from 1 species